AUUAAACGCUGGCGGCAUGCCUUACACAUGCAAGUCGAACGGCAGCACGGGGGCAACCCUGGUGGCGAGUGGCGGACGGGUGAGUAAAGCAUCGGAACGUAUCCUGGAGUGGGGGAUAACGGUAGCGAAAGUUACGCUAAUACCGCAUAUUCUGUGAGCAGGAAAGCAGGGGAUCGCAAGACCUUGCGCUCUGGGAGCGGCCGAUGUCGGAUUAGCUAGUUGGUGGGGUAAAGGCCUACCAAGGCGACGAUCCGUAGCGGGUCUGAGAGGAUGAUCCGCCACACUGGGACUGAGACACGGCCCAGACUCCUACGGGAGGCAGCAGUGGGGAAUUUUGGACAAUGGGCGGAAGCCUGAGUCCAGCCAUGCCGCGUGAGUGAAGAAGGCCU
rnacentral:rRNA from 1 species